UACGUAGGGGGCAAGCGUUGUCCGGAUUUAUUGGGCGUAAAGAGCGUGUAGGCGGCCUGACAGGUCUGCUGUGAAAACUCGAGGCUCAACCUCGAGAUGUCGGCGGAAACCGUCUGGCUAGAGUCCGGGAAGAGGAGAGUGGAAUUCCUGGUGUAGCGGUGAAAUGCGCAGAUAUCAGGAGGAACACCGAUGGCGAAGGCAGGUCUCUGGGCUGACACUGACGCUCAUGCACGAAAGCGUGGGGAGCAAACGAGGAUUACGAA
rnacentral:rRNA from 1 species